rnacentral:rRNA from 1 species
GCAAGUCGAACGGUAACAUGGAAGCUUGCUUCUGAUGACGAGUGGCGCACGGGUGAGUGACGCGUACACAAUCUACCUAUAAGAGGGGGAUAGCCCAGGGAAACUUGGAGUAAUCCGCCAUGUGAUUAUGAAGCGGCAUCGCUUUAUAAUUAAAACUACGGUGCUUAAAGAUGAGCGUGCGUUUGAUUAGUUAGUUGGUGAGGUAACGGCUCACCAAGACGAUGAUCAAUAGGGGGCGUGAGAGCGUGAUC